CAUGCUGCUGCUAGACUACUACAAGAAACAAGACUUUCCCAGUCUGCGCAGGUUUGGAACAGAGAGGUUGUACGCUCAAAAGGAGGAUCUACUCCAUGAGGUCUUGGAGCUGGAGGCUGAGAAGGGGCUCCUGGCCAGUGGUGAAGUGCCAAAGUACCAGGACGAUGAGCGGAGAAGUCGAGCCAUAGAAGAACUAAAUCUACCAGAACAGGACAAGCCAAACAUCACUAUCACGCACACACCCACUGCAGAACCAGAAGACGACCGCGAAGAAACGGCAGAGCUUUCAGCAGCUCCCACAGCCAAGCGGCCCUGCCAGUGUUGCUGCCAGACCUACUCUGAGAUUCUCAGCUUUCUGGAGAAACGCUCAGAGGCGGAGCAACGACUUCGAGAGGAGGAGCUCGCCCUGCGCAGAGAGGAACUGGAGAUUCAGAGGAGUAAGAUCGCUCUGGAGAGAGAACGUCUGGGAGCUGAGAGGAAGGAGAGGGAGCGGAGAUUUGAGCUCGAGAGCCAGGAGAGGCAGGUCAUCUUGGACCUGCUGAAAGAGAAGUGUCUCAUGUGGCCCUGCAGCUUCUCCUCCUCCACCUCCUCCUGAAGCCUUCAUCUUCUUCAUCAUCAGCUGCUCAGUGACUCUGUUGGACGUCUCACCGUGUGGCAGCAGCUCAGGAGUUUGCAGUCAACCAAGGCCGACUCAGAAUCACUCCCACCGGGAAGAUCUGUGAAGGAAGGUCCACCCGGCUGGUCCAGAAGCUCCGGUCCAGCAGAGCAGCGUCAGGAUGGAGACGUAACCGGUGUUGAUGUCACCGCCUUGACGAAUAGAAGAAAAGCCUGUAUUUGGGUAUG
ensembl:lncRNA